UUAAUUUUUAAGAGGUACUUGGGAACAAGCCUAAGUGAAGGCCAAGCUGUCAUAAUUAAUAGGUCUCUGUAUGAUUAUUUGGGAGCUGGUGGUCCAAAGAAGGACCUGCUACCCCUCUCUUUUUCUCUUUCUUGUGCCAUGGUACUCUAGGCUCAUAUUGUCUAUUAUUUUAGCCCCAGCUCUAGAAGCUUCCAUGCCUCUGAGGAAUUCUAGUUCCAUUUACAAGGAAAUGGCAUUAGACACCAAGACAGCUCCAGGCAUGCUCACUGCCAUUGGUGUCCCACUGAGACUUGUCUUUGGUGACUGUUCGAACAUGGUUUCCUUUCUCUGACAACCUGCCCUCACCUUAUUGAUGCAAUGUAGCAGUAAGGAUUAUAAUUAGCUGGGAAACAUAUAGGGGCUGCUCCUUCAGAAGAGACAUUUCACUGAGAGUCGUUUGCAUUGAAUGGUCCAUUUAAACUGCUGAGUAUUUUACACCUCUGGUAAUGUUUAGCUCUGUUAACGCAAAUGGGGUUUUGCUCAGAAAGAUAAUAAAAUCAGUAUUAGUGGUUGAGAUAACCUCCAAUUGGGAAUUGUGUAAGUCAAAAUAAUUUCUCUCUGUCCUUAACAAGAAGAGAGAAUAAUUUACAUGUGUACUUUAAAUUUUCCCCCAUUUGUUUGGGGAGGGCUGUGCACACACUCAGAGACAAAACUUAUGUUAGUUGAUUCUCUACUUCUAUCCUGUGGCCUCUGGGACUGAACCCAAGUCUUCAGUCUCAGGGCCCCCAGCUAUAGCUUAGCAACUUAGAGACUGAGGACGGGGGCAUAAGAUCUGACAACUCCGUGUGUGGAACGUCACCCGCUACUGUAGACGCUGGAGGCCGUUUGGCGCAGCUGCUCUCACAGGCCAUAUCAUGGUCAUUGCUGAUCUCAAGGACUCUUUCUUUUCCCACAGGACAGGCUCUGCCCUUUGAUGCCAUAAGGACACAACUUAAGAGCAAGGUUCAUGGUCCUACUUGGCUCAGCCUCCAGCAUCUUCUUUGGGUACUUGAGGUAGAAGAUCUAAAAACACUGAAUUUUGUUUCUUUUCCUCACUUCCUCGUGACCUGAUAGCGUUGUCGGGACCCUGGGGUUCUGAAGAUGGCUCAGGUUUGGCUCUUAGCCCACCCUAUAGUAGUGAGACUAUGACAAGUUAUUUGUGGGUGUGUACCAAGUCACUUCAAAACUAGAGAUUUAAAACAACACCUGCUUACUGACACACAGUGUCACAUAGUGUCACAUAGUAUCACAUAGUGUCACAUAGCGUAUGUCUCAGAAAUCAGCCAGGGCUCAGCUGUAUUCUGUGUUUCGUGCCUCUCACAAGGCUGCACCAAGUUAUCAACAAAGGGGGUGUGGUCCCAUCCGAAGACCCCGUGGAAGCAGGACCUGCUCCCUAGCUUAUGUGGAUCUGGUUCCUCGUGGAUUGCUGGACAGAGGACACCGAAUCUUCUCUGAGUGUUGCCCGGAGGCUCAUCUCAGUUCCUGUCAUGGGCUUCUCUAAUAUGGCAACUGGCUUCAUCACAGUGUGCCCACUGAGAUGCAGUAGUGAGCAUCGGCUAGUGGAAGUCACCGUCACCUAUGCCCAGCACAGAAAAGACAUCCCGCCACAGAGUCUGUCUCAGACUCCCAGGGAGGGGACUGCAGGAGUGUGGAACAAGCACAGGAUGGGAUCACAUGGAAGUCUUAGGAAUCUGCCCACUAGAGUUAGGGGUGGGACUCCAUCUCAGAGUCUAGUGGGAGCAUGUUUUCCUUCUGGUAUGUUCUGGGCUGCUAGGAGGGAAUAUGUACAAACAUGUGACUUAGUACACCUACUUAGUCUUCCACUGUGAACCUUAUUUUAAAUACGAUGAACUUCAAAUAAUGGAUUUUUUCGUAAGUUUGAAAUAUAUAGGGAACUUGAAGUGACAAAUUCCUGGGCUGGUGAGAUGGCUUAGUCAGUAAAGUCGCGUGCCAACAAGCCCGAUGGCCUGCGUUGGUGGAUAAAAAGAAGUGGCUCCUGCAAGCUGUCGUCUCACUUCCGCAAGCCUCCCGUGGCAGGUGUCCCCAGAUGCUCCCAUAAAAGUAAAAUCUCCAGAGUCAGGAAAGCGCCUGGCCCACUCUUACUUUCAGAGUCUUGAGCAGUGAACGGCACACAUUGUUGGACGGAUGCUCGGCUAAAGGAUCCGUGGUUCAACUUGCGUAUGCUGCUAUGGUGCACAUCUCCCAACAAGACCACAGGCGGCUAGCUGGCAAAGCCAAGUCUUUAGAAUUUCUCAGAGAUGCUAUGACGUGCAGCGAGAGACACAUAAACAGAAGGAUAAAUGCCAGGAAAUGAAAAGCAAUUUGCUGGACAGUGAACUCUGCACUUCUCAUGCCCCCUGAGUUACACAACACAGCAGAUUGAUGCUAACACCAACACCAACGCUGGCGCUCAUCCAAGGUCAUGGCUCAGUCUUCCAGCAUCUCAGAAGUUAAAAGGAGUUACAUUAUUAAGUGCUUGGAAUAUGAAACCAUUAAAGAAAGUUUAUUUAUUUA